rnacentral:rRNA from 1 species
AACGAACGCUGGCGGCAUGCCUAACACAUGCAAGUCGAACGAGACCUUCGGGUCUAGUGGCGCACGGGUGCGUAACGCGUGGAAACCUGCCCUUAGGUUCGGAAUAACUCCCCGAAAGGGGUGCUAAUACCGGAUAAUGUCUUCGGACCAAAGAUUUAUCGCCUUUGGAUGGGCCCGCGUUGGAUUAGCUAGUUGGUAGGGUAAAAGCCUACCAAGGCGACGAUCCAUAGCUGGUCUGAGAGGAUGAUCAGCCACACUGGGACUGAGACACGGCCCAGACUCCUACGGGAGGCAGCAGUGGGGAAUAUUGGACAAGGGGCGAAAGCCUGAUCCAGCAAUGCCGCGUGAGUGAUGAAGGCCUUAGGGUUGUAAAGCUCUUUUACCCGGGAUGAUAAUGACAGUACCGGGAGAAUAAGCUCCGGCUAACUCCGUG